AUGAUUGUAUUAUUCAUCACAUCAUAUUGCAAGCUCAACAAGUGGCUUUUAUAGGUCCUUGCUAGAUAAGUUACAAGACAAGUGAAAAGUCAAAAGUCACAUACAUUAUUGAUAGGUCAAUCCAAGAGCCAAAAGUCAUGAGGUCAAUCCAAGAGCCAAAAGUCAUCCACCUUUAUAUUUCAUAACACUCCCCCUUGGAUGACUUGUAUCAACGUCAUGCCUCGUUAAAACCUUACUAGGAAAAACCCAGUGGGAAAAACCCUAGUGAAGGAAAAAGAGUACAUGAGUUGUACAAAAUAAAAACAUAUCGUUUAUGUCUCCCCCUCGUCACGAUAUAACUAUAAAAAUCAGUAAAUAUGUCGAAGUAUGCUCAUCCCGUGUACUAAUUUCUCGAAAUGAGUGGUAGGAAGUGCCUUUGUGAAGAAAUCUGUUGGAUUCCUUUCUUGCACGUGAUGCUGCCUGCAACAAUUAAAUUCAUAGCAAAAGAAAAUAUCCACUAUAAUUUAUUCAACUUUUGAUCCCCUAUUUUUUUACGCCUGCAAAAUUAGCUUAAAACUUUAUAGAAUAUGUUAGUGGAGAUCGAAUAAAAUCACUUUGUAAGUUCAGGAUUAACACGCUCUUAAAGCGAGCGAUCCCUUAACAAUGAACACUAACCGAAAGCGGAGACUUACUUUAAAUAAUUAUGUCAAACCAUGUAUGAUAAAACAUGUCAUAGUUUACUUAGAUACGGUACCUCAGGACUGAGAAUUUCUUUCAAGUGUUCAGAAAAGUCAGUGUACCAUCGUGUAUUUAUAAUCCUUCUGGGAUUCCCAUAUGACAACAUAUCAUUCAUCUAAGAGUAAUUCUUCUUUCAAUAUAUACACCAAAAAACACUUUAUCACAUAAUAUAACAUCAGGUGCAACUCAAUUCAAUGUUAACUAGAAACACAUUCUAGUUUCCAUCUGCUCUGGCCAGAGGCUUUAUGAGUUGUCACCUAUAGAUAUACAAUGAUAACACGUAUUUGUCCAGAAUCCCUUUUCCAUUUGAGAGGGUAUAGUUCUCGAGAGUUUAUUAUACUGCUUCUGGCAGUUAAGAUCCUUCUAGGAUGAUUAUUGUCAAGUGGGUCGUAUAAAACUUAAAUUGAACAUUCACAUAUUGCGGGAUUAUUUCGCAAUCAAAUAAUCAUUUCCACCACAAAUACUAUUACUCUUCAUAACCAACACAAGGUUAUCAUACAAUUAUUUGAGCUUUACAUAUCUAUAAUUUCAUUUUAUUUUCGCACAAAUAAUCAUACAUAUCCCACUGACUUAACACCUUUGGGUGUGUGAACUGCAGUUGCAAAAAUUUCUCUCUAUUUUUUUUUAGAGAUAAUGAUUCAUAGGGCGCACCACUUUCACAACUUCUGGUGUGAGAGGACUACUGGUCCAAAUAAUUUUCUAUGUAAUUGCCUCAAUUAUAUCAUUUAUUCUUUGGCCAAUGUUAUCAAUAUUUUCUAACAGAUUCUGCUUCAUGAUCCUCAUUGUUAUCAAUAACCUCAAGUUCUAUAAAUAUCAUCGACGUCGAUUCGAUUUAUGGUUCCACUUCAUUCUGGACAAGGCAUAAUAUAUCGAGAUCUCAAUAUUUUUCAUUACUUUUAUUUUCUCUAAUUUGUCAUGUCUAUAAUCUCUUCUGGAGAUCCUUCAAUGCCAUGUCUAUAAUCUCUUCCAGAGAUCCUUCAAAAAUUAUUGAUUUCUCAAUCUAGCCAUCAUCAAUUAUUGCUCCUUUUCAACUUUUUUUUUUUUUUUUUUUGUAUAAGAUAUGGAACCAACUUGCCUAUCACGCUUCAGGCGUUCUUUAGACAUAGUAGUAUCUUGAGGUUGUCCUUCUGCGACAUUUAAAUCAUAGGAGCAUAUGUAGCCGGUGUCCAUGACAUAUAUUUUCUGGUCAUCAAAAUGAAUUAUCUUAUGAACUUCUGGUUCAUAUUCUUUGUUUUGAGGAUCAAGAUGAGGCAAUGAUAACUCAUUCUCAUAUUUCUACUUUCACCGGCUAUUUAUUUUCUCCCCCUGAUUUUGGGAAAACAAACUCAUUAAAUCAAGUCACAACAAAUACAUAUUGAUGAUUCCAAAUGCACUCAUAUGUAAUAUAUAUCCAAUUGAGGAAUCGAUCUUACUAAUGUGGUGGAAAAUCUGUGAUGACCAAAUAAUUUAUUUAAAUGGGGAGAGAUUAUGAAAAAUUUGUUUAUAUGAUGAUGCGAAUCGAUAAAUAUGUGAUACAAAAUAAUCAGUAAUUUUUAUGGACGAGAUAAUACUCAUUAUGAGAUGCACCAGCAUUAUAAACAUAUAUUUUAAAUAAUGAAUCUCGCAUACUUCAGGCUGCGAGUUGAUAAUACCUUUGUAUACAACCAUAUAUUUCACAAAAUAUCUCACUGUUCAACAAUAUGAUAUUUUCAUCUCAUGCCAUAUCUUCAUUAAUUUAUUCUCAAAGAUGAUAAAUCACAAUUAUAUCUUUGCUGGUGAUCAAUUUUCCUUUAUAAGCAAAUAAUAUAUGUACCACUGAGAAGAAGAAUCUACUGGUUCUUCAACAAAAGUGCAUAUAAAAUUACUAUUUGCAUCUUUAACAAAUUGAGGUGGCUUAGCUAGUCAGGCCAAACUGUAAACUUAUAAGUAAACUUCUGGUUUACUUCAAAAUCAAUUUCAAUUAUGCUUAUUAUAAUUAGUGGUAGUGUCAUGAAUUAGACUCAAUAUUUAAAGGCCUUAAUAUCUCAAUGCGAUAAAUUAUAUAAAUUUCAUUCUUCAAUUUUCUUGGGAGAGGAUAAUUGCAUCAAUACUUUACAUGCUCUUCUGGAGUAAAAUGUACUUCUGAGAGUGGAUAAAAAUAUACAUGCUCUUCGAGAGCCUUAUACAUGCUCUUCCGGAGCUUUAUACUUUCUCUUCCCAAAUCUUAUAUUUUAAAAAACUAUAAUGAGGCAUCCUAUAUAAUCCUCCCCUUUGGAUGACUCAUUUUAGAUAUGAAGUAUUGAUACUAGUCAUCUUUAUAUCAAUCAAGAGAAAUAUUCCUUAUACACAUAAUAAGAAUAUAUAUAUGACUUAGAGAAUUUGUAAUGUCAUGACCAUUGCUACUAUCAUGCUUCAAUAAUAUGAUAUUUUCAUCUCAUGCCAUAUCUUCAUUAAUUUAUUCUCAAAGAUGAUAAAUCACAAUUAUAUCUUUGCUGGUGAUCAAUUUUCCUUUAUAAGCAAAUAAUAUAUGUACCACUGAGAAGAAGAAUCUACAGGUUCUUCAACAAAAGUGCAUAUAAAAUUACUAUUCGCAUCUUUAACAAAUUAAGGUGGCUUAGCUAGUCAGGCCAAACUGUAAACUUAUAAGUAAACUUCUGGUUUACUUCAAAAUCAAUUUCAAUUAUGCUUAUUAUAAAUUAGUGGAGAAUCUUUAUCCAAAAUACUUUUAGUGUCAUGAAUUAGAUUCACUAUUUAAAGGCCUUAAUAUCUCAAUGCGAUAAAUUAUAUAAAUUUUAUUCUUCAAUUUUCUUGGGAGAGAAUAAUUGCAUCAAUACUUUACAUGCUCUUCUGGAGUAAAAUGUACUUCUGAGAGUAGAUAAAAAUAUACAUGCUCUUCGAGAGCCUUAUGCAUGCUCUUCCGGAGCUUUAUACUUUCUCUUCCCGAAUCUUAUAUUUAGAAAAACUAUAAUGAGGCAUCCUAUAUAAUCCUCCCCUUUGGAUGACUCAUUUUAGAUAUGAAAUAUUGAUACUAGUCAUCUUUAUAUCAAUCAAGAGAAAUAUUCCUUAUACACAUAAUAAGAAUAUGACUUAGAGAAUUUGUAAUGUCAUGACCAUUGCUACUAUCAUGGUUGAUAUCCUUUGAUUUUCUAAUACUGUCACAUAAUGGUACGAUAUCUUUUGUUGCAAUUCAUAAUCAUUUCAUCAAUAAUUUAAAUUUAGUAAACCACAUUUAGUCACGAUAUCAACUCAUGCAUUUAACACCCCAAAUAUUUCAUCAAUUGCAUAAUAUUGUAUCUGCGGGACAUAAUAUAAUAUUUAUUUAAUCAAAAUCUAUUAUAUCCAAAUAUUAUACUAUUCUUUAUAUAGAACCAUCCUUCAGGGAUAUUAUAUCAUCUAGGAUAAACUCAUGAUUUGAAUAUUAUUCUACUAUAUCACUCUUCUGGAAUGUAAUCAAGUGUUUAAACACACAACAUUGAUUUUAUAGACCUCGCUCAAUAUUAUAUUUAUGAAAAAUAUGAUCAAUAUCCAUUAGAAAUUUCACAAAAAUUAAACACAACGUCAAUGUGUGAUGAUAAAAGAAUUUUAUUAUAUAGAGACAACUUCUAGUUGUUAUUACGUGCAACUUCUGGGUGCAAUUAUAUACAAUCAAUCUAUUAAAAACAACGUCAAAUAGGUGUUGUCGAUAAUACCAACAUCAUGUAGCUCAAGUGAGAUAAAAAAAAUCACUUUUACAAAUGUUAAGUUUUAAAUCAAUUUUAAAUUUAAAGACAUGGAGUGAUAUUAACAUUCUAUCAACAUCAAGAAUAUCACAUAGAGAUCACAUAAUAUCACUUAUUUGAAGCAUGAAUAUGUAAUAUAUUUAAUAUGUGAGCAAGACAUAAUGUGUGCCCAUAAGCCAUCUCUUCCAAACCAUAAUAUAUAAGUUUUGUUAUCUCAAAAUUUGGGAUGUCCUCUAAGAAGAAAGAUUAAAUAUGGACAAGUAAGGAUCCGUGUAUCAUAUAUUAAUCCGAGAUACAUAGACAAAGACUAGAGG
rnacentral:lncRNA from 1 species